CGGGGUAUAGCGCAGCCUGGUAGCGCACCAGUCUGGGGGACUGGUGGUCGUCGGUUCGAAUCCGGCUACCCCGA
rfam:Lysobacter dokdonensis DS-58 contig18, whole genome shotgun sequence.